rnacentral:misc_RNA from 1 species
AAGUCGUAACAAGGUUUCCGUAGGUGAACCUGCGGAAGGAUCAUCAAUGUAUCCAAAUUACAUGCCCCAUGUGCACUGUACAUACAAGGCACCUGGCGGGCCGCGUCGAGGCCAAGGAGCAAUCCUUGCCUCCGCAGCUGUCCCGGUGUGCAAUUGCGCGUGCGGGUCUGUGGACCUGCGCGUGUGCUUGUUGCGUCGGGAGAGAGGGUGCUCGCCACUUGCCUUGUACAAUACACCUGGCUUAUGCUAAUUGACUGAUAAUUACUUUAUAAAAUUAAAACAACUUUCAACAAUGGAUCUCUUGGUUCUC